CCAGGGGUUCCCCUCGUGAUCCGUGGGUGGGCCCCGUCUCCGGGCGCGGCGAUUCUUGCCCCUGAAUGGGUGGUUUUGUGCCGCCAGAUAAGUGCUGACACGCUCUGCUCGGGUGACAGUCGCCCGAGAGCUUCUGGGUGCCUGGAUGCGUGUGCGGGGAGGUCUCCGGGCUCUGGCCGAGAACCGGACGCCCGUUUCCACCCCCGCCACUGGAGCCGCCCGCUGGGGCCUGCGCGCCGGCUCUUGUGCGUUCCAGGCGUCCCCGCGACCGUGGUGCCACCUCCGGUCUCUGGUACCCGAGGGCGGCGGGGUUAGGGGCGCGGGGUCCUCUACCACGUGCACUCCCCGCCGGCAGCCGGGUGCGGUCGCGACUUACCCCGUCCCACCGGCUCCGUGCCAGUGCGUGUCAGGCGUUCUCGUCCUGGGGUCGUCGCCCGCGCUUGCUGGAGGAGGAGGGGGGCCGGUGAGGCUGAAGCAGGCUCCUCCGCUCGCUGUCCUCGCCGGCCUUCCCUUGCUCGGGGAUCCCUCGCGUUAUGCUGCUGAUCGAUGUGGUGAUGCUGUGCUCUCCUGGGCCGGGCCUAAGCCGUGCCAGACGAGGGACGGACGUUCAUGGCGAACGGGACCGCUCUUCUCGCUCUGCCCGCGGGCCCCCUCGCCCGUUCUCUCCCGCUGCGAGUGGCGUGUGGGAGGUGGCAGGGGUGCGGAAUCCGGCCCGACCUCGCUCCCCCGCCCCGUGCCUUGUGGCGUGGGCGGUGUCGGGGUCUCCGUGACGCGGCGGAUGCUCCGCCUGUGCCUCUUGGCUGUGUCUCGCGGGCGGCCCUCCCCACGGUGGGGCGGGCCGUGUUGCCGCCGUGCCGCGCGCCUUCUUGGGCGCGUGAGCGCGCUCCCCCGGCCGUUGGCGGUGCCCCUGGAGUGUUCCAGGUCGUCCCUCAGGUGCCCGAGGCCGAGUGGCGGUGUCGUUCCCUGUUCCCGUCGCCCUCCUCAGGUGACCGCUGCGCUGGUGUGUCUGAGAAGCGGGGGGUCGAGUCGGUAAGGGAGGCGUGCCCGUCCCCCUCGGGGGGGACGGGUGCCACGUCGCCCCCCACACGGCGUGCCGUGUGGGGGCGGGCAGGCUCGGGCGCGUGCCCGCGUGUUCCCCUUGCUGGGGUUUCCACGCGGGUGUGGGAGUGAUCGUGGUGGGCCGAGCCAGCGGCGUGAUGCUGGCUCUUUGGUUGGGAGGUGCUGUUUGAUCGGCACCUCCGUCCCAGUCUCUGCCUCCCUUGGUCUCGGCCUGAGGGGAGGCACUGACUUGGGAGCCGCACAGGGGCCUUUUAGAUCCCUAGCUAAGCCCAGUGUGGCCGGAGAUGGUGAGCCCGGGGCAGCUCGGGCUCGCGGCCCUGACCACGGAGUCUCCGACUUGCUCUAGGCCUUACCUCUACCGCAGACCCCUCCUGCGUUGUGUGGCCAUGGUGUCUGUAAGCGCCUUGGUGGGCCCGAUGGCGGACGAUGGGCGGGGGCGACACGCCCUCGGUGAGAAAGCCUUCUCUAGCGAUCCGAGAGGGUGCCUUGGGGUACCGGACCCCCCAGCCGCCGCCCCUCCUCUGCGCGUAGUAGCCACGGACGCCACCACCGUGGCGCGUGGGCAGAGCCGCUCUUUGCCUACCGCGGCCGGCGCCUCCCCCCUCCGAGUCGGGGGAGGGUCACGCCUGGCCGGGCCGUCGUCGGGCGCGGGGCCGCGCGUGUGCGCGAGCAUGCUCGUGGUUCUCCCAUCGCGCGCUGGGGCGGGGAGAGGGCCCGGCCCUGUCCGGGCUCCACCCUGCCGCGAGCGGCUGGCUCUCCGCUCGCUCCCGUCCCGAGCCGCAGCCGGUGGUGGCGUGCAGGCAUGGGUGGGGGCCGCCGCCGCUCUCGGGCGCGUUCCCUCGGGACGUGGGCCCCGGAGCAGACCAGACAGGCAGACGGGUGGCUGGGUGGACGGGGCGGCCCCCGGCGGCGGGGGCGCCUCACGUAGGCCCCGGCGGUGGGGCCGGGCCCGCGGGAGGCCGAAGGGUGGCUGAGGCCGUCCGGCGUCCCAGGCGUCGUGGGACCGCCCUCGCGUGUCGUUGGCGGUGGGAUCCCGCGUGUGUUUUCCUGGUGGCCCGUCGCGCCCGAGGCCGUCCCCGGGAGCCUUUCCGCGAGCCGCGCUCCCUUCGUUCGAGGCGCGCGCGCCGCGCUCCCCGUUGCCGCCGGUGCUGCCCCGCCCGGGCAGACGCCUGGACGCGCCGCCCACCGGCCGGGACCGAAAUGGGCCUCGCCGCGCGGGUGUCGCCUCCGGCCACCGAGGCCGGUGGUGACCCGGGCGAAGUGCCCUCGGCUCCGGUUGGGUGGCGCCCGUGCGCCAGGCGCCCGGCGUGGGACGCCGGCGCCGUGUGCGGGAGAGCCCUGGCCGUGGAGGUGGGUGGUGGGGCCGAGCCCCCGUGAGCUGCGCGCGGGGCGACGGGGCCAGUCGCCGUUCCGGGCGCUGCGGGACCGCCCCUGGUGCUGG
rnacentral:lncRNA from 1 species